UAUAUAUAUAUAUAUAAGCAAAUGCCGGAAUCCGAGGCAGGGACACCAACAGUGUCAGCGCCGGCGACGCCUGGAACGCCGGGAGGGCCGCUGUUUUCGUCGCUGAGGGUAGACUCAUUGUCUUAUGAUCGAAAGUCAAUGCCAAGAUGCAAGUGCUUGCCAGUUAAUGCUCCAACCUGGGGUCAAUCCCACACGUGCUUCACUGAUUUCCCUUCCCCGGAUGUCUCUCUUACCCGCAAGCUUGGAGCAGAAUUCGUGGGAACCUUCAUCCUCAUAUUUGCAGCAACAGCAGGACCAAUAGUGAAUCAAAAGCACAAUGGAGUGGAGUCAUUGAUUGGAAAUGCAGCAUGCGCAGGGUUAGCAGUGAUGAUAAUAAUUCUAUCAACUGGACACAUAUCAGGGGCUCACUUGAACCCAUCCUUGACCAUUGCCUUUGCAGCUCUCCGUCACUUUCCCUGGAUGCAAGUCCCGGCCUACAUAGCUGCCCAAGUAUCUGCUUCCAUAUGUGCAUCUUUCGCUCUCAAAGGAGUCUUCCAUCCAUUCAUGUCUGGUGGCGUUACUGUUCCCUCUGUAAGCACUGGCCAGGCUUUCGCACUUGAGUUUCUCAUUACUUUCAAUCUCUUGUUCGUUGUAACUGCCGUUGCAACUGAUACCAGAGCUGUAGGAGAGUUGGCUGGAAUAGCUGUUGGAGCAACUGUUAUGCUCAACAUUCUUGUUGCAGGGCCAUCAAGCGGUGGUUCAAUGAAUCCGGUGAGGACUCUGGGGCCGGCGGUGGCCGCAGGAAAUUACAGGGACUUGUGGAUAUACUUGGUGGCUCCCACACUUGGGGCUCUCGCUGGUGCAGGUACUUACACUCUUGUGAAGCUCCGAGAGGACGAAGCGGAUCCACCCCGCCCAGUCAGAAGCUUCCGUCGCUAGAAGAAUGCCUCUAUAUACUAUUUAAUGUGCAAUUAUAGUCAUUAAUGGUUUGCGUUAAAAAAAACAAAUGGUGUGGGACAUGAUAUUUCCAUCAAAGAUUGUGAAAAUAAAGGCGAUGCGACUAUAAGUCGACGCCUACAGUGUGGUUUAAUAAUGCUGCAGAAGGAUCGGUGCUUAUCAUCUCUCAAGUCAAUCUAUGAGAGAUGAUUGUUUGGCUGUGUCUUCUUUUGCAAUGCUAGCUGGCUAUCUAGCUUUCUUUGUUGCUUCUUGUAU
rnacentral:misc_RNA from 1 species